UCCGGUUGAUCCCGCCGGACCUGACUGCUAUCGGAUUGAUACUAAGCCAUGCGAGUCAUUGUAGCAAUACAAGGCAUACGGCUCAGUAACGCGUAGUCAACCUAACCUAUGGACGGGAAUAACCUCGGGAAACUGAGAAUAAUGCCCGAUAGAACAUUAUACCUGGAAUGGUUUAUGUUCCAAAUGAUUUAUCGCCAUAGGAUGGGACUGCGGCCUAUCAGUUUGUUGGUGAGGUAAUGGCCCACCAAGACUAUUACAGGUACGGGCUCUGAGAGGAGUAGCCCGGAGAUGGGUACUGAGACACGGACCCAGGCCCUAUGGGGCGCAGCAGGCGAGAAAACUUUGCAAUGUGCGAAAGCACGACAAGGUUAAUCCGAGUGAUUUCUGCUAAAGAGAUCUUUUGUUAGUCCUAGAAACACUAACGAAUAAGGGGUGGGCAAGUUCUGGUGUCAGCCGCCGCGGUAAAACCAGCACCUCAAGUGGUCAGGAUGAUUAUUGGGCCUAAAGCAUCCGUAGCCGGCUCUGUAAGUUUUCGGUUAAAUCUGUACGCUCAACGUACAGGCUGCCGGGAAUACUGCAGAACUAGGGAGUGGGAGAGGUAGACGGUACUCGGUAGGAAGUGGUAAAAUGCUUUGAUCUAUCGAUGACCACCUGUGGCGAAGGCGGUCUACCAGAACACGUCCGACGGUGAGGGAUGAAAGCUGGGGGAGCAAACCGGAUUAGAUACCCGGGUAGUCCCAGCUGUAAACUAUGCAAACUCAGUGAUGCAUUGGCUUGUGGCCAAUGCAGUGCUGCAGGGAAGCCGUUAAGUUUGCCGCCUGGGAAGUACGUACGCAAGUAUGAAACUUAAAGGAAUUGGCGGGGGAGCACCACAAGGGGUGAAGCCUGCGGUUCAAUUGGAUUCAACGCCGGA
rnacentral:rRNA from 1 species